GUCUUAAGCGAGAGUUUAAGGCUAUGGCUUAACCAUAGUUCGCUCCCGAACUGAAGGACUGAGUGCAGGAGAGGAAAGCGGAAUUCCUAGUGUAGCGGUGAAAUGCGUAGAUAUUARGAGGAACACCAGUGGCGAARGCGGCUUUCUGGACUGAAACUGACACUGAGGCACGAAAGCGUGGGGAGCAAACAGGAUUAGAUACCCUGGUAGUCCACGCCGUAAACGAUGAGCACUAGKUGUCGGGAGGAUGAACUCUCGGUGCCGCAGUUAACGCAAUAAGUGCUCCGCCUGGGGAGUACGCACGCAAGUGUAAAACUCAAAGGAAUUGACGGGGACCCGCACAAGCAGCGGAGCAUGUGGUUUAAUUCGAAGCAACGCGAAGAACCUUACCAGGUCUUGACAUCUUCUUGAAAGCCGGGGUAACGCUCGGCCCUCUUCGGACAAGAGAGACAGGUGGUGCAUGGUUGUCGUCAGCUCGUGUCGUGAGAUGUUGGGUUAAGUCCCGCAACGAGCGCAACCCUUGCCUUUAGUUGCCAGCGAGUAAGGUCGGGCACUCUAGAGGGACUGCCGGGGACAACUCGGAGGAAGGUGGGGAUGACGUCAAAUCAUCAUGCCCCUUAUGAUCUGGGCUACACACGUGCUACAAUGGCCGGUACAACAGGAAGCGAAGGAGUGAUCCGGAGCGAAUCCCAAAAGCCGGUCCCAGUUCGGACUGUAGGCUGCAACCCGCCUACACGAAGCCGGAGUUGCUAGUAAUCGCGGAUCAGAAUGCCGCGGUGAAUGCGUUCCCGGGUCUUGUACACACCGCCCGUCACACCAUGGAAGUUGGGGGUGCCCGAAGUUGGUCAAUUAAUCUACUACCUAAGGCAAAACCAAUGACUGGGGUGAAGUCGUAACAAGGUAACCCGGGCGGCCGCU
rnacentral:rRNA from 1 species